rnacentral:pre_miRNA from 1 species
CUUGAGGGGGGAGGAGGGUCCCUCAGCCUGAAUUUCAAGAGGGUGCAGGCCAGGCUGAGGGACCUCACCAGUGCAUG